rnacentral:rRNA from 1 species
ACAUACGGAGGAAAGAACCAACAGGGAUUGCCCCAGUAACGGCGAGUGAAGCGGCAAGAGCUCAAAUUUGAAAGCUGGCUCCUUCGGGGUCCGCAUUGUAAUUUGCAGAGGAUGCUUCGGGAGCGGUCCCCAUCUAAGUGCCUGGAACGGGACGUCAUAGAGGGUGAGAAUCCCGUAUGGGAUGGGGUGUCCGCGCCCGUGUGAAGCUCCUUCGACGAGUCGAGUUGUUUGGGAAUGCAGCUCUAAAUGGGUGGUAAAUUUCAUCUAAAGCUAAAUAUUGGCCGGAGACCGAUAGCGCACAAGUAGAGUGAUCGAAAGAUGAAAAGCACUUUGAAAAGAGAGUUAAAAAGCACGUGAAAUUGUUGAAAGGGAAGCGCUUGCGACCAGACUCGCUCGCGGGGUUCAGCCGGCAUUCGUGCCGGUGUACUUCCCCGCGGGCGGGCCAGCGUCGGUUUGGGCGGUCGGUCAAAGGCCCUCGGAAGGUAACGCCCCUAGGGGCGUCUUAUAGCCGAGGGUGCAAUGCGACCUGCCUAGACCGAGGAACGCGCUUCGGCUCGGACGCUGGCAUAAUGGUCGUAAGCGACCCGUCUUGAAACACGGACCAAGGAGUCUAACAUCUACGCGAGUGUUCGGGUGUCAAACCCGUGCGCGAAGUGAAAGCGAACGGAGGUGGGAACCCUUACGGGUGCACCAUCGACCGAUCCUGAAGUCUUCGGAUGGAUUUGAGUAAGAGCGUAGCUGUUGGGACCCGAAAGAUGGUGAACUAUGCCUGAAUAGGGCGAAGCCAGAGGAAACUCUGGUGGAGGCUCGUAGCGGUUCUGACGUGCAAAUCGAUCGUCGAAUUUGGGUAUAGGGCGAAAGACUAAUCGAUCCAUCCCAGC